CUUGAAUGGGCCUUGCCCCACCUCCUUCUCCCUUGCGGCCAAUCAUAUGGUGGCUGUGAUGUAAUAAGGUUUUCCUACUGUUGGCAGUGUGGUGCAUUGUGGGAGAUCUCUCCUGAUACCCAGCAGAAGACCUUCCUAGAAAUAACUGAAGCAGGAACCAUCCAUUUUUAGCCAGAUGGAUGAUACCAAGGUCUACAUGCAACAAUGAUUGAUCCAACAGAGAUGCAACACAGCUGAAUUGGGAGGACGUCUGGACAGCCAAUGGGUGGCUGUUAAUAAAGCUCUGAAUUGCC